ACUCAAAGGAAUUGACGGGGGCCCGCACAAGCGGUGGAGCAUGUGGUUCAAUUCGACGCAACGCGAAGAACCUUACCAGCUCUUGACAUGGGUAGUAUGGGCCUGGGCGACCGGGUCCUUCAGUUCGGCUGGCUACCACACAGGUGCUGCAUGGCUGUCGUCAGCUCGUGUCGUGAGAUGUUGGGUUAAGUCCCGCAACGAGCGCAACCCUCAUCUUCAGUUGCCAUCGGGUUAAGCCGGGCACUCUGAAGAAACUGCCGGUGAUAAGCCGGAGGAAGGCGGGGAUGACGUCAAGUCCUCAUGGCCUUUAUGGGCUGGGCUACACACGUGCUACAAUGGCGGUGACAGUGGGUUCUGCGCGAAGGGGCGACCCGGAGCCAAUCCCCAAAAGCCGUCUCAGUUCGGAUUGCACUCUGCAACUCGAGUGCAUGAAGCUGGAAUCGCUAGUAAUCGCGGAUCAGCACGCCGCGGUGAAUACGUUCCCGGGCCUUGCACACACCGCCCGU
rnacentral:rRNA from 1 species